rnacentral:lncRNA from 1 species
GUGGGCCGCUCUCUGCUGGUCCUCUCCACUUCCCCACACCCCAAGGAGGAGAUCUGCCUGACAUUUGUUUGAGCUGCUGCCAGGAAAACAGUCAGAGGUACCGGGCCAAGAAGGUGACAUCAUUUGAAGUCAAGUCAAGUGUCUGAGUUCUGUGCUGACCGCCUGUACUUGAAAAGAGACAUGCUCAGGAGAAGGAUGAAUUCAAAUUACACCUAGGAGAUUUUACUUUAAAAUGCGUAAUUAGUCUUUCAUGUGGUGUAUUGAAUAAAUUUCAAAACUUGUCUUACAUUCAGAUCAUUUUCAAGUUGCAUGUGCAUGUGUAUGUGUGUGUGUGCAUGCAUGUGUAUAUUGGGAAGGAGUGAAAUACAUGCCAAAGCCCCUUUUAUUACUGGCCAAAAGCCAGGCUGUAGCAAUACAGUUGGCCUAAUGAAACCACCUUCAAUGUUUAUUAACCAGUAAUUACAGAGCACUGUGAAAACGAGAGGACUGGGAAUAUUGAGACAAAAAGGACUAAGACUUUCUGUAAAGUAUGUAAAGUAGAAUGGAAGCCACCACUUAGUAAGAAGGGUUUGAAUAAAGAGUUGAAAUUGCUAAGACAAAAAUACCACUUUGUAUGGAAGCACCUUGCCCUCAACUCCCUGGCCUUUUCAUCAGCUUUUUCCUUGUCGAUGCUGUCAUCUUAUCCAAGCUCAGGUGUGUCCAGGGCUCCUGCUCACCUGUGCCUGCUUUCUCUCUUUCUCUUUCUCUUUGUCACAGCAUCAAAUACUAUCUUCAUGAACAAGGAUGUGUGUGUGUGUGUGUGUGCGUGUAAUGUUUAACUCGGCAUAGUACAUGAUGUAUAUAUUUUCAAUGUGAUAUAAUUUGGAUAGGUGUCCUCUCUAAAUCUCAUGUCAAAUUGUAAUCCCCCAUGUUGGAAAUGGGACCUAGUGGGAGGAAACUGAAUCAUAGGGGUGAAUUUCUCACGAAUGGUUUAGCACCAUUCUCUUGGUGCUGUUCUUGUGAGAUUUGGUGCUUUAAAGUUGUGUGGCAUCUCCCCACUCCCUCUUACUCCUGCUUUUGCCAUGUGAUGUGCCAGAGUGCUCCCCCUUUGCCUUCUGCCAUGAUUGGAAGCUCCUGAGGCCCCCCUAGGAGCACACGCCACUCUGUUCCCUAUAGAGCCUGCAGAACUGUGAGCCAAUUAAACAUCUUUUCUUAUUACCCAGUCUCAGGUAUUUAUUUAGAGUAAUGCAAGAAUGGCUUCACACACACACACACACAAUGUCUUCAAGUUUUGUCUGUAGUCACAAAAGUCAUAUGUAUUGUAAAAACAAUUUCAAACCAUAUGAAAUAUAAAAAACAAAAUUUCUCACACCUUUAUUACUAAUUCCACUAUUAGCAGUUUUGGUAUAGGUAUUUUUCUAAAUACAGAGUGUCUUAAAAUAACCUUUUACAGAAUUCAUUAAUGUGAUAUUAGCAUAUGUUCAUAUAUAUUUUAACCAAUACAGAUAAUAAACUGUAAAGUCACAAAUGCUCAAGAUACCCA